UUCUUUUAUUUUUUUUCACUGUAUGUAUGUAGGAUGGUGUGUGCAUGUAUAUCGGUAAAUGCAAAUGAAAAAAGCUGCGUAUACUAUAUCUACCUGAAAAUACCAGUUGAAAAACAACAGCUUGGCCCACUAGCCUGUUGCCUACAAUGCCGCCACCAAUGUUAACAGAUGUAAUGGUGAAAAGAGAGUUAUCUGUAAAUUUUCAUUUGUAUCAGGUCUUUGUAGAUUUUAAAAUAAAUGUGGCAGGUAUGGCAUUAAUAGAUAGUAAUGCUUGUUCAUAAAUGGUUACUGCUUAGCUGCCUCUCAAGAGUUGGGCAUACAGACGUUAAUUAUCUCGGGUUAUCAUCAGUACAGUAAUUAUAAAUCCGGCUUUUAUUUUUACGAUACGUAAUUAUCUUUUAAUUAAUUAAAAAUAAUGUGUAAAGUUAGGUAGAAUUUAGCCUUCUGGAGACAGCAACUGGGGGAAUUCAUUAGCUUACGGGAGACAACUUCACAAAUAGGACGCAGGCUGAUUUUUUAGCCCCCUUUCAGACAAAAUAGUGUGUCUUAUAUGCCAUAAAAUAUUGUACUCCUAGGGCUCUGCUAUUAGCGCCCAUAACCAGUUCUAAGGGACAACCCUACCACAGGAACCAAACCCAAAAAGGCACCUUUUUGCAAAAUCUGCAUCCAUCCUCAAAUGGGUUCGUCAAGCGUACAAAUUGUAAAAUUCUUUAGAUUCUUCGACACGUGGUGAAUCCGAUGCACAGUUCCUGGAAGGACUGGCUUCCACAAGUAGCAGAAUCCAUCAAUGGAUCUAUCAAUAGCUUUUCAGGAAAAUAGCCAUACUACAUAAUUUAUGGUGCCAAAAGAUGCUUGCUCUAUGAUCAACUAGCAGGAACCCCACAACCUGUAUGCAACAUGGAUGACCAUGCCAAGAAGCAAAUCAAUGUUUUCACAGCAUUCAUGAAAAAGUACAAAAGCAUUUAACAGCCUCACGUGCUGAAAUGAUCUGCAAGCAACAUAAAAACCCAAGCCUGUAACUCCAAAAAUAGGAGACGCAGUAACGACAAAAGCACCGGAACGUACAUCAAAACUUUUGCCUAAAUUCACAGGUCCCUACCUGAUUAAAGGAAAAGAACAUGGAAACAAAUUUCAUGUAGUUGACCCAACGACAAAUGUCACUGACAUAGUUCAUGUAGAUAGAAUGAUAAAAGUUAGCAGACACUUAGUAGGGACCCCUAAUGUCCGUUAAUUACAGCCUACUUCUACUACGACAGUUGCUCAACACAACAAUAAACAAUACAUCACAACAAUAGACAAUAAAUAUCAUCAAAAACUGUGAUCAGCAAACAAAAAACAUUAAUUAUCCUCACCCCUUUCAGGCAUGGCUUGGAUAUCGCUACUCCUGUUGGCAUGGAACGCUGUGGCAACAGCUGCAUCCCCAGCAAACAUCAUCAAAUCCAAAGCUUUAGUUGCCCCACUGAGCAAAGUACUUAUAGUGGAAGAUGUCGUAACUGUCAAGUACCAGCACCAAAGUUUAGUGAUAUAUGCCUGAGGUCAAUAGCUGUCCACAUUGAAACAGCUAUAAGUACACAAGAUCUCAAACAACAGUCUACCAUCUCACUUCAUAACGCCUAUAUGAAGCGUCUACUCAAAUGUGUAUGCACUUGGAGGGAAAGCUGCCCACGACUCCUGAAGACGUCAGGAACAAUGUUCAUUCUCAUAAAAACCGUGGUCUAUUUAAUUUUGUCGAGUUAUUAAGUAACACCCUAUUUGGUACGGCAACUGCAGAAGAUGUAGCUAAACUAGGGAAACGAAUGAACGUCUUAAACAGCAGUAAAAAAAAGUAAUCAACUAACAUGCAUGCAACUGAAGCCUCUGUGCAAGCUUUCACUGUUACCAAUGAUCGGCUCAUAGCCGAUUCAGUGAAUGCAGGUCUAGUCAUGUAGAUGCACAACUAUUGCCGGUUGGUCAAUUUAUUGCCGCUUUACAUAUAGCUCACGGUCGCUACCUAAUGAUACUGGACACAGAAAUAGUCCAGGUAUGAAUCCCUGGGAAGGAUCUCAUUUACCUAACAAGAGUAGUGUGCACCUUGGUGCUAACAAUCAGCUGCAGUACCUGUGUAUAUUAUUAUUAGUAGUUUAUAUAUGCACAAAAAUGAAGGUCAGAUUUGAGUCAAACACCAAAAGUACACACGAAAGAAAACUUAUUCUUAUACCAAAAAAGCCAACCCACCAAACUUAACCUAACUUAUAGGGAAAUGAAGAGAAAACACGGGCUUAGUGAGGAGUAUAACCUCAGGUAAACAUGGCCUGCGGACAGUCAAUGGAUUAACCUUCCUUUUGUCAGAAAGUAAAAAUUCACCUAGGAAUCUUUUUCUUGUGUAAUAAACAACAGAAAUAUGGUUAGUUAUCAUGACUUUUGUUAUAGAGGAUAAUAAAUAACACGAUACAGUAUGUCCACCUGUGCUUGACGACUCCACUACCUGUGCUUGAUGACCCCACACCUGUGUUGACGACGACCCAACAUAAUCUACUAAAUUAACCAUUAAAUUCGUUUUAUCUCGCCACAAUAUUAUAUAUAAUAAGCACUUGGCAUUAUAAUUAUUAUAUAUCUGAUAUAAUAUUGUUAUUAAAUGUGUUACCAAGGGCUCAGCCAGUUGUUUCCUGGACUGUCAAAUGGUUCUUUACACUCCAAGUCCGCCAUGUUUGCUUCACUAGGUACGAGGCUUGGCACUCUUGGCCUCACGCACCUAAAACAAAAAUAACAAAAGUUUAUAAUUUAUUUAAUCUGUACAUUAAUGUAUAAUAGAAUGUGUUUGCAUUAAGAUAGAAUAAAAAAAUAUGUUUCUA
rnacentral:lncRNA from 1 species